AAGCGCUUGUGACCAGACUUGCGCCCGGCUGAUCAUCCGGUGUUCUCACCGGUGCACUCUGCCGGGCUCAGGCCAGCAUCGGUUCUCGCGGGGGGAUAAAGGUCCUGGGAACGUAGCUCCUCCGGGAGUGUUAUAACCCAGGGUAUAAUACCCCUAAGGAGACCGAGGUUCGCGCUCUGCAAGGAUGCUGGCGUAAUGGUCAUCAGCGA
rnacentral:rRNA from 1 species